GCCGGCGCCCGGGCUCUGGCUCCGUGUCUUCACUCCCGUGUCUAGAGGAGGGAGGGAGGGCCGGGGGCUGUGCUGGGGCGGCU
rnacentral:pre_miRNA from 1 species